rnacentral:rRNA from 1 species
UACGUAGGGUCCUAGCGUUGUCCGGAAUUAUUGGGCGUAAAGAGCUCGUAGGCGGCGUGUCGCGUCGGAUGUGAAAGCCCGGGGCUUAACUCCGGGUCUGCAUUCGGUACGGGCAUGGCUGGAGUUCGGUAGGGGAGACUGGAAUUCCUGGUGUAGCGGUGAAAUGCGCAGAUAUCAGGAGGAACACCGGUGGCGAAGGCGGGUCUCUGGGCCGAUACUGACGCUGAGGUGCGAAAGCGUGGGGAGCAAACAGG